rnacentral:Y_RNA from 1 species
GGCUGGUCCGAGUGCAGUGGUGUUUACAACUAAUUAAUCACAACCAAUUACAGAUUCCUUUGUUCCUUCUCCACUCCCACUGCUUCACUUGACUAGCCUAAA